UAAAGAGGAGGCCUAGAACUCCCCACUCCAAGAGCCCUGGAGAAUCCCGGUCUGGCCUGAGAAGAUCAGGAGUUUGGGAUAAAUUGCUAGAGAGGCCUUGUCCUCAUGUGGGCCAAGUAAGCCCUUAAAAUGGGUGCCCAGCAAAGCAAGGGGGUCUGAGGUGGCCCAGCUCUGUCCCUGCUCCCCACAGACACCUGCUACCCUGGGCAUCCUACAGCUGCACUCAAUCUGCCCCUCCUUCCUUCCUAGGCCUUAGGAAAUAUCUGUUCAUUUUGUUUCUUUCCACUUUCUCUCUCCCCUUCUUCCUGUCUCCCUUCAUCUGCCUGCUCCUCCCCAAUCUGUCCUGAAGAGUACAUUUCUUUCCCCAUCAGGGAGCCUUGUGGGAAUCUGGGGGGCCUGGGGCUGAGGAAGAAGAGACUUCAGAUCCAAGAGCAGCCCUGAAGGAUUGAGGGAGGCAGAAGGGGUGUCAGCCACUGGGCAGAGGAGUUCCUGGCAGCAGGGAGGGCCAUGAGAUAAUUAGCCCUAGAGCUUUCUAGGCCUCUGGAAAGAUGUGGGGUACAGGAACAGAAGGGAAGGAAGAGGCAGGUCAGGACUGGGGGAACUCAGGUUCCCUGGCCUGCCUGACAGAGACAGCACAUGGUAGAGUUGAGAGGGGAGCCAGGGUCAGGGACAGGGCAGGCAAUGGGAAAGAACAGGGACAUUCCCAGGCUCAGGAGUCCCCAGGUCUCCCAGGGGAGGGUAGUCCUCGCCUGAGGUUAGGUGGCGGGCCCCGACUGGCUGGGAGUGGGUUUCUGUACGUGGCUGGAGGUGAAUCACACCUUCUGUGUGGGUUGCAUGUUUAUAUGUGGGUGUGCCGAGUCAGCAUGCGUUGUCCUGCGUGUCUGCUGGUGUAUGUAGGUGUUACUGGUGGGUGACAGGUCAAGGGUGUGCCCUGGUGAAGCGGGAGGGUGCCUGUGUGUGUCUGUGGGCCUCUAGACCUGAGGAACCAUGCUUGAGUUUGUUCUCAGAAUGUGCUGGCAUAUCUGUGUGCCACGUGUCCCUUUCUCUGUCUCUGUGUGUCCUACUGAAAUCGGCUGUGUGCAGGAGUGUGUCUGCGUAUGUGGGUGUGUUUGUGCAGGGGCCAGGGAAGGGUUAUUCAUAGAAGCAAGAACUGACUCUGGUGGGACACUCGUGCAGAGAUGGGGAGGCACGUUGGGUGGGUAGGUGGGGGGCAGGCACUGUGUACACCAACGUGCUCCGAAUUCCAGCAAACUCCAGUGCCUGAGUUUCCAGCUGUCCCAGCUCAACUGUGCACAGAUGUGUGCCGCUUUGCUACAGCCAUAAACAGACCUCCCAGGAUUUUUCCAGAGGAAACGCAGAAAUAUUUUGGUGUCUGCUCUUGGUAGUAGGAAAGAGAGUGGGGAUGAGGCUUGAGGCUAGGGCUUCGAAACAGAGGGACCACAGUCAGAGGGGAGCUGAAGAGGCAACAGCAUCCCCCACAGGCCAGCAGGGUGGGGGAAGAGCUGUGAUGGCUUCCAGUUGUGGGGUCCUCUCUAAGGCCCCAGCUAGCAGCUGGAAAGUGAAGUCCCAGUUGCCAGUGUAGGGGCAAAGAAGGAAAGCUUCCCCCUUCACCCUCUGAAGGUUUGCAGAAAGUGAGCUGACAAAAAGCAGAUCAAUAGAAAAAAGAGGUAAACGGAUGUUAUUUAACAUGCAUAGCACAGGGGUAUGGCGGGAGAAUGAUUACCCGAUAACCCAGAGAGGUCCAGGUGCUUGUAAACCCUUCUUUAUAGUGGAAAGAGACAAGGUGUUACAGGCAUAAAUACUUUUAUGGUGGGGGAUGAAUGGAGCCAGGAGGCAGGCAUUAUCUUGUGAAUGAUUCUUUUUGGAAACUGAAUGGGACCAGAGAACAAACAAUAGUUUGAGACACAGUUUGGGCUCUAGAUGUGGUGUUUCGUGAUCAGUCUCUUCCUCUGUGGUAGGAGUUUUCAUCUCCUCUGAUUAAUGAAAUUUCAGGAGAGGGAUCGAAGGCAAUUCUGCUCCUGCUUGGGAGUCCAGUUUCCAGUUCGAUAUGGGAGCUUCAGAAGACAGCCUCAUCCUGUGCUUUGGGAGAGACAGGGGCUUUUGUGGGAGGUAGGUCAGAGAGACCUGGAGGCUGCUUCUUCAAUUCAGCAUGUCAAAGUGCCAUCUUUGUGGGUAUCAUUUUCUGAGCCCUAAUACCACAGAUGCUGGCCCCCCAGAGCCCAGGCCACUGCUGCUCCACCCUUCCCUGUCCCCCAACCCCACGGGCUGUACCACAGAUACACACACACCCCCACCACCACCAGCCCACCACUCAACAUCCAAACACACAAAGACACUACACAAACCAGCCACCCUGCACGCACCUCACCACCACAUUCACAUACGCACUCACUUGUUCUCUCACACAUCCUAUGCCCACAGUUCUAGGACCACAGUCACAGACACCUCACAAACACCUCACUGCACACAUGCUCUGAGCCAUACACCCUGGCACAAUGCACACCGACCCCACCUCACCCCACGCCCCUACACACAGGUCCAGACUUCCCCAAGCCAAGGAAGGGGCAUGACACUCUUCUUAGGCCUCUCAUCAGAGCAAAGUCUGUAAAGGUUUAGAAGAGUGUGAGGUGUUCCUGUCCAACAGGAUUACCUUGGGAGAAAAGUGGCCUCUUCUCAGCAGGUGACCCUGGGGAUGGGCCCCGGCUGCUCUUUGCCCUCUGAGGAACUUACAGCCCAGCAGCAAGGAUGACCAUGGACUGUGCUGCAAGCCACUCCACACCCUGCAAGGGAGCGGAAUAAAGUGCUCUGGAGUCCAGUGGUGGGAGAGAACACUGCCAAGCUGAGAAGGCAGGCAGGCUUCCUGGAAGAGGUGACAUGUGGGCAGGCUUUGACCAAUGGGCAGCAUUUACCUGUGAAGGCCAUGGGGGUAGGGAGAAUUCAGCCUCACUCCUACCCACAAAGCUCUCUAGCACCAGGAACCAGUUUCAUGAAAGACAAUGUCUCCACGGAUGGGAGGGCAGGAAGUGGAUGGUUUGAAGAUGAAACUGUACCACCUCAGAUCAUCAGGAAUUAGAUUCUCAUAAGGAGUGUGCAAUUCGCAAUAGGGUUCACAUCCUUUGAGAAUCUAACGUUGAGGAGCAUGGGCGGUGGGGGAACCCCUGCUGUAGCACAUCAUCUUGUUUUAUUGUAUUCAUAGCACUUAUCUGAAUUUAUCUUGUUUAUUUGAAUAUCUGUUUUCUUUUGUCUCCACCUCUACAACGUAAGCUAAAGCCUCCUGUGUCUUGUCCACCACACUUAGUGACUGUGUCCCCAGCACUUAAAACAGUGUCUGGUGCUCUUUAAAGGGAGGAAGAAAGGGAGACAGGGAGGGAAGGAGGAAGAGAGAGAGAGAGAGAGAGAGAAGGGAGGCAGGGGAAAAGCUCACCUGCCAAGGCACAGGACCUGAAGGCCAGUCUGGCAGGAAGAAGAUGAUGGCAGGCCUUGAAUACAGGUUGAGGAAGGUGGACUCAACAUUUGCCAGUGGGGAGCCAUGAGGUUUAUGAGCAGGGCAGUGAUGCAUACAGGCCAGUGGUCCCUGGGCCAGCCAUUUAUGCUGCAGAAUCUCCUUGACUAUGAAACAUAUGGGUCUCUGAUUUAGCCAAUUGACAGGUAAACUCUACCUAGUCACAGGAUUCAACCAUGACCUUUGGCAGUAUAGGUACAUACAUAAACCUAUUAUACAGCAUUUUAGCUUACAUUGUAGGGGUGGGGCCGGCCAAACACAGAUGUUCAGAUAAACAAAAUAAAUUCACAUAUGCCUUCUCUCCUUAGCUUCACCCUCAGACCAUCCCACAGAAAUAGGUCCUAGAUGGAAACAGCUUAUGGUACAAAAGUCAUGUCUUUGAGAAAACACAUUUGCAUGGAACAGCCAUACCAUUACCUUUCUCUAAAGCACACACGGAGGACAGUACGGCAUGCAGAAUGGAGAGGGAAGUGGCUAGAUCGCUCAUACCUUCCUAGGAGCCCCCUUCUACCCUUUCGAAGUGGACCAAGCCAGUGCCUAGUGUCUCACCCUUGCUAAAGAAUAGCUCACUUGAUUUUAGGGCCAAAGAAGAGGGUGGUAAGGCCAGGCAGGGGCUGAACGAGAACCCUCUCGUGAGCUACCUGCCCACUUUCCAAAACUGAGCAGGACAAAUGCAACGGGGAGGUUUCAUUUUAAAUGUUCUCCAGUUGGAGAAGGGCUUUAAUCUCAACAACGAAGACUCGCCAGCCCUUCAGCCCCUGGGCCUAGGGCUGAAAGCUCUGGGCCUUCACGGAGAGGUCCACUGUCUGCAGAGUCCUGGCCAUAGCUGGGAAGGAGGGAUCCUGGGCUCUGGUCUUGACUACAGGACAUCUGGUAUCUCUGUUGGAGCCAAGUCGAAUCAGAUGCUCAGGCUCCUAGUGGGAAGGGGCAGAGCAGCAGAGAGAUCUGACCUGGAAAGAGCAUGUGGUGGGUGCAGGCACAGGGCUCUGGAUGCAGGACUGCAGCCCUAACUCUACCGCAGGACAGCUCUGCUACCUUAGGCAGCUCCGUUACGCUUUCUGCACCACAAUUUCCUCAUCUGCAAAAUGGAGAAAUCAUCACUCUGCCUACUUCAGAAGAGCACUGUGGGGAUCAAAUGAGCUGAAAGGGAGAUGAAAGGAGUUUGCGCUGCACACAGGGAGAUGAUGAGGCCAUGCCCUCCUCACUGUGGCACAGAACACGGUAGCAGGAGGGACUAGAAAGGCCCUGUACUCAGAAUUAAUUAGGAGGCUCUUGUUUCUUGAUAACUGCCCAGGGCCUGAAUCCCAGCCCCACUUCUCACCUGUAGGUGACCAUGAACCAGACAUCUCAGCCCUCUGGGAGGCUUGUCUUUGAAG
rnacentral:lncRNA from 1 species